UGGUGCCCAGCGUGGGGGCUCCUGGCACAGGGGAGUCAACAAGGAAGCCGUUCGAGAAAGCUGGCUGAGAGUGAAAGCAAAUUGAACCAAAGACCGUGGCGAGAAGUGAGCAAACUAAAUCAAAGAUCGAAGCUAAAAGCAAAAGCACAUUAAAUCAAGGCUGAGGCCUGCGCGGAUGACUACCCAACGUCCCACCUGAGUCAUGGUGAGUGAACGAUGACCCCAUUCCCUUUCCCGGACAUGAGUCAAACAUUGAGCAAACAUGAAUUGUUCGUGGGAGGCCUUAUAAAGGCAUUAAAGACAAGAGGGGUAAGGGUUAGAACAAAAGAAUUAUUGCAGUAUUUUCAAUUUAUUCAUAAGGUUUGCCCUU
rfam:Cavia porcellus supercont2_16 genomic scaffold, whole genome shotgun sequence.